GGAGGAAUGGCUGAGUGGCCGAAAGCGGCGGUCUUGAAAACCGUUGACCCUUUGCGGGGUCCGUGGGUUCGAAUCCUACUUCCUCCGCCA
rnacentral:tRNA from 1 species